GAUGAACGCUGGCGGCGUGCCUAAUACAUGCAAGUCGAGCGAACAGACGAGGAGCUUGCUCCUCUGACGUUAGCGGCGGACGGGUGAGUAACACGUGGAUAACCUACCUAUAAGACUGGGAUAACUUCGGGAAACCGGAGCUAAUACCGGAUAAUAUAUUGAACCGCAUGGUUCAAUAGUGAAAGACGGUUUUGCUGUCACUUAUAGAUGGAUCCGCGCCGCAUUAGCUAGUUGGUAAGGUAACGGCCUACCAAGGCAACGAUGCGUAACCGACCUGAGGGGGUGAUCGGCCACACUGGAACUGAGACACGGUCCAGACUCCUACGGGAGGCAGCAGUAGGGAAUCUUCCGCAAUGGGCGAAAGCUUGACGGAGCAACGCCGCGUGAGUGAUGAAGGUCUUCGGAUCGUAAAACUCUGUUAUUAGGGAAGAACAAAUGUGUAAGUAACUAUGCACGUCUUGACGGUACCUAAUCAGAAAGCCACGGCUAACUACGUG
rnacentral:rRNA from 1 species